rnacentral:rRNA from 1 species
AGCGAACGCUGGCGGCAGGCCUAACACAUGCAAGUCGAACGAACCUUUCGGGGUUGGUGGCGGACGGGUGAGUAACACGUGGGAACGUGCCUUUAGGUUCGGAAUAACUCAGGGAAACUUGUGCUAAUACCGAAUGUGCCCUUCGGGGGAAAGAUUUAUCGGCUUUAGAGCGGCCCGCGUCUGAUUAGCUAGUUGGUUGAGGUAAUGGCUCACCAAGGCGACGAUCAGUAGCUGGUCUGAGAGGAUGAUCAGCCACAUUGGGACUGAGACACGGCCCAAACUCCUACGGGAGGCAGCAGUGGGGAAUCUUGCGCAAUGGGCGAAAGCCUGACGCAGCCAUGCCGCGUGAAUGAUGAAGGUCUUAGGAUUGUAAAAUUCUUUAACCGGGGACGAUAAUGACGGUACCCGGAGAAGAAGCCCCGGCUAACUUCGUG